GACGAACGCUGGCGGCGUGCUUAACACAUGCAAGUCGAACGGUGAAGCUCCAGCUUGCUGGAGUGGAUCAGUGGCGAACGGGUGAGUAACACGUGAGCAACCUGCCCCUGACUCUGGAAUAAGCGCUGGAAACGGCGUCUAAUACUGGAUACGAGAAGGGUCCGCAUGGGCACUUUCUGGAAAGUUUUUCGGUUGGGGAUGGGCUCGCGGCCUAUCAGCUUGUUGGUGAGGUAAUGGCUCACCAAGGCGACCGCGGGUAGCCGGCCUGAGAGGGCGACCGGCCACACUGGGACUGAGACGCGGCCCAGACUCCUACGGGAGGCAGCAGUGGGGAAUAUUGCACAAUGGGCGAAAGCCUGAUGCAGCGACGCCGCGUGAGGGAUGACGGCCUUCGGGUUGUAAACCUCUUUCAGCAGGGAAGAAGCGAAAGUGACGGUACCUGCAGAAGAAGCACCGGCUAACUACGUG
rnacentral:rRNA from 1 species